ACAGCGCGAGGGGAACGCAGCGGCUCCGCGGCGGCUCCAGGGCGCGUCACCCCGGGCUGCUGCCCUCGGACCGGGGGUCGGGGCAGGCGGGGUGCGACGGAGCCCUCCCGGAGCCGCGAGCAGCCACGUGUAGCACCGCGGGGCGAUGGCAGCGUUCCGCCGGUCCGGGAGUUACAGAGGUGGAGCCGUAGGCUUUCCGGCACGUACGGGCCGGGCUGGGAACCGGCUGGCGGCUGCGGGACGGGCGGCCCCGAGCAGUAUUCGCGUUGACUGCCAGCAGGCAGUCUGAUGGUGUGCGAGCGGGGUGUGAAUGGAGCGCCGCGUGCGGGGCACCGCGCUGCUGCGACCUCCGCUUUCGUGGCUCCAUCGGUGGAGUUGUUCUCCUAGAAGCGUUUGUUUUAACAGCGCUGACUUGAAUGACAAACCUUCCCUUCGGAAAGAGCUGCCCGCAUCACGGCGACGUGCGAACGGAAGAGCGGCCGCACGGAUGAGAAUUAAAACCAAAUUCCUCUUAUCUACGUGAGAAAUCAGCCGGAAGAAAACGGAAAUAUACCCGACUUUAAAAUACAUAUGUAUAUAUUUAUUUUUUGUGUAAAAUACUUCGUUCGCUGUAAGGCAUUGAUCUCUUAAUGAGUUUCUACGUUGUUCUGUUGCAGCUGCCGCGCGGCCCCGGGCACGGUCCGCGCUGCGCUCCCGGCGCUGUGACGCGCAUCGCCCCGCACCGCCGCCUGCCCGGAGGGAACGGCAGCGCGCAGGUUGGUGCCAACGCACUCACUCUCAGUGCAGCUUGAUGGCUCCGUUUCUUAAUUACCUCUCUCAGCUGAACGAAGCCUGACUCUGACGGACGGAGCGCAGGCGGGUGGCGGUCACAGCGGCUCGGGGCUGCGGGGCCGCUCUGCCCGCGGUGCGGAGGCUGCCCCCCCCCGAGGUCGUUCGCGGCGCUGUGCGGCCCCGGGGCAAGCGGUGUGCAUGGGGCCGUGCUCUAUGCGUGAGCCUUGCAGGGUCCGCACCGGCUGCUGCGGGCUCUGCCGCUGUCACUGCAGCAGCAGAGGUGGCGCGGACGGUGUUUUCUCUGUAAGCAAAGCAAAGGGCGCGGAUCGAGGGCUGGAAAAGCACCAUCAAAGCGGUUCCUUCCUCCGUCUGAGCGCCGAUCCGGUCACGGUUAAUUGGCGAACGUCACGACGGCUCUCUGAACAAAACGCCCUUCAGGUGAGUUUCCAGCUCCGACGCCCUACAUUCACUUUUUAUGAAGUUUCUCGAGGAAACCUACGCCAGGCUCUGCCCUCCGUCAGCUCCCGGCCGCAAACAACCCCGCGGGCGGACAGACGGACGACGUUAGGCCGCCUUCGCACCGGGGAAUCGCCAGAACCGGAGCUCCGCCGUGCGAUGACCGCCUCCAGUGACAUCGAUGGCGUUCGUCAGGGGGCGGAUUUCGUGUCCCGAGACGUGUGUGAGUAA
rnacentral:lncRNA from 1 species